AAAAGGGAGGAUAUAAUAUGGAUCAGAAGCUACAAACCAAAAGAAAUAGAGGAGCAAUGAGGAACAAGUGUAAACACAGUCAAAUCACACCCAAAACCUCUAAUUCAAUCCUCUUCUUGACUCCAUUAUUCACAUAAUUUUUUUUAUUUUCUCAUUUUUCUAUAUUUUUUUUCAUCUUGUCUCUUUUCUUUUCUCUUUUCAG
rnacentral:lncRNA from 1 species